rnacentral:rRNA from 1 species
GACGAACGCUGGCGGCGUGCUUAACACAUGCAAGUCGUACGGUAAGGCCCUUUCGGGGGUACACGAGUGGCGCACGGGUGAGUAACACGUGAGUAACCUGCCCACAACUUUGGGAUAACGCUAGGAAACUGGUGCUAAUACUGGAUAUGUGCUCCUGCUGCAUGGUGGGGGUUGGAAAGCUCCGGCGGUUGUGGAUGGACUCGCGGCCUAUCAGCUUGUUGGUGGGGUAGUGGCCUACCAAGGCGGCGACGGGUAGCCGGCCUGAGAGGGUGACCGGCCACAUUGGGACUGAGAUACGGCCCAGACUCCUACGGGAGGAAGCAGGGGGGAAUAUUGCACAAGGGGCGCAAGCCUGAUGCAGCAACGCCGCGUGCGGGAUGACGGCCUUCGGGUUGUAAACCGCUUUCAGCAGGGACGAAGCUUUUUGUGACGGUACCUGCAGAAGAAGCACCGGCUAACUACGUG